UUUUAUAUAUUUUAAAUCUAGUAAUGAGUGUUUAUUUUUGUUCAUCAGUGAAUGAAAACGGUUUUUAUCCUAAUAUGAAUUCAGCUUAUGAUCCUGAAUUUAUAUUGUUAAAGCAGUUAAUGAUAUUAUUUCAGAGUUAUAACUGACUUAGCAAAGUCACGUUAUUUAUUUAAGCAAGAUGAAAUUAGAUUUUAUCUUUAUUCAAGUCGUGAUUUAUUUCUGACUCGUGAGUUAAUUAAAUCUGCGGAUUUAAUUUAAAUAUUAGAACAACAAACGAAUUAAAUCUACGGAUUUAAUUUAGAUUCAUUUUAUAAUUUAUCGAUUUAAGCGAGAAAUCACAUGUCGAAAUACGAGAUUUAUUUAAAUAAACAGUAUCAAGCAUAUACGAGCACACGAUCCAUCUUACAGUUACAGAAUCACCGAGACAGAGAAAAUACAUCAAUAAUUCUCCUCUACAUUUUUUUUCCUUUCUUUUUCUUCUCUUUUUCUUUCCAUUAAUUUUGUUCCCCACUCCAUUUUACCACUAAAUCUACUUUUUGACUUUCACCACCAUUUUUCCCCACCACUUUCACCACCAACUCAAUUAUGCAACAACACAUAUUGUUCCAGCCAUCAAGUCAUUUCUUCCCUCACCAAAACGUGUAGAAGAAGUUGAGAAAGGGAGAGAGAGUUUCCUCCAACUCCAAAUUGUAACUUGAAGAGGUAUAUACUAAGCUUCUUUAUUUUGAAUUCAGUUGCAUAUCAUCCAAACGGUUCCCAAAAAUUCUCAAAUUAAUUGUGUAUCAUCUUUCAUACAUUUUCUAUAUUUUGGUAAAAUUUCAGAAUAUUUAGAGCUCGCAUGAUUUAUUUAUGAAUUUGUAAACAUCACUGCCCAUCUGGAAUACAUUUUUGGUAAACAAUCUUUGGGAGAUCAUAAGUAAAGUUUCAAUCGGUGAAAACCUUUGAAACUUGAAUAUGUCACUCUAGACUCCCGUAUCUUUCUUUUGACAUCGGCCUCACCAUUUUUGAGUAAGGGAAACAACCGGUAUAAAUUCUUGAAAUCUAGUUCUUAUUCCAUGUACCAUCCAGUAGAUUUUACAAACCUACGACUUUGAGGUGGAAAAGGCCGACUUAAAUAUUUGAUUCUCAAGCCUAUCUUUCUACUGAAUAUUCACUGACAUGUUGGGAACUUACUUGUUCAGUUUUAGAAUUUUUGGUGAAGCUUAAAGUGGUUUUUCCGAUUUAUGUUCUGAAUCUGCCAAACUUGAACUCUUUUUGUGCACUGAACUUUAGAUAGUCAUAUCUUCUAAACCAUGAAGGUUCUUAGAGUAAAUCCAACUGGAGAGUGUUAUGAUCUCUCCCUAGUUUCCAGAUUGACCUUUGGGGUUUCCAGUGGAGUUUUGUAAAGGGAGAUAUGAAUUUUUAAAGAAAGCCCACUGACUUGGUUGUAAUCUGGAAAUAUGAAAUUUACAGAUUUUUGCUUGUUAAAUACCCAUCUUUGAGAGGGCAUAUCUUGCUCGUUUGAAUUGUUUUUCAUUCGAUUCAAAUUGGAGAAUGAUCCUUGAAAUGUCUAGUUUCCAGAAUGUCUUUUGGAGCCUCAUUUGGAGAUCCGAGGUAGAUUUGGUGUCUGUUGUAAAACAACCCCUUAAGAGCUCAAGUUGUUGAAUUAUUUUCUAUGUAUCAAAGUUUAUUUUAAAGGAUGUUUCGUGAAAGAUUUAGUAUAUGUGCGUAACAAGUUUGGGACUAUUUAUUUUAAAUGAGGUCCGUUCUUUAUUUAAAUUAGGAUGGACUUUUAAUGAAUAUUUUUGGGAUUAAACUAUUAUUUCUUGAUUUAUAUAAAUUAUUUUUAAGGACUUAUAAAUAUGAAUUUCGUAGGCCUACUGACCUACUGUGAUCGACGGUUUGUCGAUGUCUAACAGCUUUGCAAAUUUUAUAGCAAGUCCCUACAUGAGUCUUGAGUACCCUGGUAAAAUUUCAAGCCAUUCCAACUUCGUAUGAUACUUCUUUAAAAUGCAAAACCUAAACUGCACAUUACUACUGAGAAUUUCAGAGAACAGAGAAAAGAGUCAUUUAUUUCAGUAGCUUCCUGGGUGAUCUAGCUUUCCAAAUUUUUAUGGUAUUAACCUUAUUGUGUUAUUUAGAUAUCCACCAAAGUUGAGCCCAGUUUGACAACGUUUACUAUUUUUUCAAAAAUACAAGUUUUCGGUUGUUCAAAACUGCCGAACAUGGUAGAUCGUGGUAAAAAACGUCAUAUCUCUCAAACCACUUGGAGUUUUCGACUCUAUUUUUUUUUUUAUAUGAAACUAGACUCGAAGAUCUUUCUUUCGGUAUGAGUCUCGAGUCCAGGAGAUGUCGGAGUCAGAACAGAUUAAAUUUUGAAGUUGAGUCAGUGUAAAAGCAGAGCAUGUUUUGAUGAUGUUUGAUUGUGAUUCUUAUGUGCCUUAUGUUGAGCCUUUUUAUUUUAUUUUAUUUUUUUUAAUUUUAUAACAUUACUUGUUCUUAUUUAUUAAGCCCGAUUAAUUAUGAGAUUAUAAAGCGAAUAAGUUGAAGUAUUUAUUUUCUAUUGACUACGAGGAACGGGGUUUAUUUAAUUGACGGAUUAGAACACCCGAUGAGAACGGAUUGAUUAUGAUAAUCUAUCCGACCUCAUGUGACGAGCCUUAUUUAAAUUAUUUUAUUUCGACAAUUAGGAUUUAUAAUAGAAUUUCCCAGAUUAUUAUCUCAGAAUAAUAAUUAUCGGAAUAUGAGUCAUGCAUAGUUAAAUUACGCAUUCUCAUUAAUUGAGGAUUUUAUUCGAGCAGUAUCUUAUUUAUAUUCUCGUAAUAAAGGUCAAACACGAGAUUAAUAAUCAGUCAAGGAGCUACUGUACCACAGAAAAUUUCUAUCAGGUUGAGCAGUAGACGAUGGUGAUGAAGUGACGAGUGGAAUCCUCUUUUGUCGCAAUAUUAUAUGCUAUGAAAAACUCUAGGGUUACAUGUCUUCAUACAUGUAAUCAGAACCUUAUUCCGCUGCGUACUCAGAAGUUUUAUGUUAUUUUGGCUAAGUCAGAGUUAUCUGAACUUACUAGUUAUUUGAGUCUAUACGACUAAAACUCCGUUAUAUUAUAAAUAUCCAUGUUGUUAACAA